AGGUCGCAGGUGAGACUAUAAAAUCUUGGCGAAGAUGUCCUGCAUUUCAGAACUUCUGAGCUUUACCGGGAUCUUAUCAAGAGCAACAGUUACAGAAUAUACUACUUACAGGUAUGUUUAUCAUGCAGCAUUGAUGUUCGUGUAUUGUCGUGCAUGAACUAACAGCGCCGGCUCGUUGUCUUGAAACACAUAAAAGUCUAGAUUUUUCAGCGAUCAUUGAGAGAAAUCAUGUGCGUCUCAUUGACAUACAGGUAAAUUAAGAUCAGAUUUCAUACCAAGUCUGUUUACUGCUUGGCGCGUUUACCACAUUACAUAGAGGCGAGAUACUCGACUGCAUCAUGUAAACGGUAGAUUACUAUAAGUUUCUAUAAUAGCCGGGAUCUCGCCGUUGCCGAGUAACUCGACUUGCUGGGUAACUCGCGCCUCCAUAUAAACAGGCCCAACUCUCAUGCACUCUUGUUUCAUCUCGGAUUUUUGCACUACCUAUACUGCCCACAGUAGCCUGCUCAAUGUUUCCCUCUACAAUUUAUAGAUAAAAUUCAGUUGUGGAAUUAUCAUGAAGACUUUUGCUAUUGUUGUUUUGGCUUUCAUUGUUGCUUUUGGCAACUGCGCAGAUCCUUCAAAGGAAAACGACGUCAGAAAUCACUUAAAUCGUAAGUAAUAUCAGGUCAAUUUCUAUAACUACAAUCAUCUUCAAAUGUAUUUUUUCACUGUCUUGGUGUACAAUGUACUAGGUGAAUAUAUGAUACUUGUGAUGUUACUCUGAGUGUAGAUCCACACCGGGCAAGCUCAGUUGGCAGAGCAUUAGGCUAGUAUUCCAAAGGUCGUAGUUUCGAUUCCCACCGUGGCCAAACCAUCAUCUUCAAAUGUGUUGGACAGAUGCCUCUAUAUUAUUAUGACAAACUUUGAUCCCCCCGCCUCUUUUUCUGUGAUUGGAUAAACAACAUUGAAUGAGGAUGGAGAUAUAAAUGUUUAUAAUAAUUUGCAUAUAUCCAGUGAUGAACUAAAACCACAAGUAUCCCAACAACUUUUGAAAAUGAUUGUUACCUAAAUCAUAAUCCCAACCCUUAAUACUAAUCUCAAACCUAACCAUAAUCGUAAUCUUAACUAUAUAAUCCAGAUCUCACAAUUUCAUCUAAUCUUAAGACUUAAACCUGGUUUACACUAUCAAAGUUUCUGUGAUCACAGUAGGAAUUUUGCAUCGGUAAAUUCUAAGUUUUGAAGGUUUUGUAAGAAAUGUUUGAGGAAACUGACUUACUGUUUAACACUGAAUCAGUUUCCUCAAACAUUCGUCACAAAUUCUUCAAAACGUAGAAUUUCCCUAUGCAAAAUUCCUACUGUGAUCACAGAAACUUUGAUAGUGUAAACCAGCCUUUAUAGUGAUGUAUAGUCUAUUUGUCAUAAUUGCGUUCCAUUCUAUUUCAACAGAUAAAACGUUCUGCGAUUGGCCUGGCUGCACAUGCUAUUACAACUUGGGUAUUUGUCCUCGAGGAUACUAUCCUUGCAGUUCAACGAGAUAUUGUGGUCUGCGAACCAACAAACCUUGCUGCUACUGAUAAACAACAUAUAAUUAAUAUCAACGUUGGGCCUUCAUGGAACAGUAUAAUUAGAUUUGUGUUAUAGAACUAUUGCGUAAAAAUGCAUGGUCAUGCUUUUGCUUAAACUGAUAAUUGUAAUGAUUUUUGAAUCGGUUUGGAUGCUAAUAAAUGUUGUAGUCUUGUACGCUGUGUUUAAUCGUGUAUUGCAUUCGUGUUGCAUGUUUGACAAAUUUUUAAUAAAUAGUUGAACUGAUUCAGUGUUUGACACUUAUAUAUACUUGGGAAGGUAUUUUUAAUCAUAUACAGGACAGAGGAAUGUCCAUAAUUGUUUACAACAACUUCUACGCUCUAUAUAAAUAUCACUAUAUACCAAUUUGAGAUCUCUCAAAACUAUUUGAUCACAGCGUUACUUGCCUUCAAGUCAUAAUAAUAUCAUUUCGAAUCUGAUUAUUCAGUGUAACUAUUAACCCGCAAUAUGAAUUUUGGCGUCAUAUUUCUAUCAUUCUAAGAAGAAGUGCAAUAUAUCUUGACAGUAAACACCUCAUCGGAAGUCGUCCGAUAUUGUGAAUUCAUCUAAUUCCGGAAACUACACUUAUUAUAGUGAGAAAUUUAAUUAAGGUUUUUUAAUAUAAAGAUAUAUCACACUUUCCUGCCUCCUCCCCAGGCUCUUAUGUUUAGCACACACAAGCGGCAUAUAUAAAUCAGUAGCAUCGAUGCUCCCUCCAAUCCACACAAAGCGACUGGGGACGAGGCAAUCAAUUUCUUCCUAGAAUAUCUCAAAUAUUACACAUACCAAAAAAUGGCGCCCUAUGAUCCAGCUAACAUAUUUCAUGUUGAAUCGGGAUGUAUCCUGCCCACGGUAAAAAUGCUAAGACGAUAAAAUCUCGUAUAAUUCAAUCUAUUCUUAUAUUUGUUUGUUCAGAGUCAAUUCAUCUCGUUUCGGCUUGCAAAAGUUGCUUUAUCACAACUUGCUACAAGGUUAACGAGAAAAAAGCGCUCGCUGCAAGGCUGUUCUAAAAAGUCUGGUCAUGUUUCCACUACUUGUUCCCAGCUCGUUACAAGAUUCACGCGUCAACAAACUUGUUCCAACAACUGUUGUGUGUUCCCAUUUUGGUUUUCAACAUUUUGAGAUUAAUAGCAACAUUCAAUCGCGUAUUAAAAAUUUGAAAUAUAAACCUCUCUUACUUGCGCUGUUGUUUUAUAAAUAUUGUGGUACCUCUAGACCAACGAGAAGUUUGUAGAGAGUGAUAGGCAUUGUCUUCAUUCGUAACU